rnacentral:rRNA from 1 species
AUUGAACGAUGGCGGCAGGCCUAACACAUGCAAGUCGAACGAGUGGCGGACGGGUGAGUAAUGUCUGGGAAAAUGCCUGAUGGAGGGGGAUAAGUACUGGAAACGGUAGCUAAUACCGCAUACCAUCGGAUGUGCCCAGAUGGGAUUAGCUAGGAGGUGGGGUAAAGGCUCACCAAGGCGACGAUCCCUAGCUGGUCUGAGAGGAUGACCAGCCACACUGUAACUGAUACACGGUCCAGAAUCCUACGGGAGGCGGCAGUGGGGAAUAUUGCACAAUGGGCGCAAGCCUGACGCAGCAAGGCCGCGUGUAUGAAGAAGGCCUUCUGGUUGUAAAGUACUGUCAGUGGGGAGGCGUUACCCGCAGAAGAAGCACCGGCUAACUCCGUGCCAGCAGCCGCGGUAAUUC